rnacentral:rRNA from 1 species
AACGAACGCUGGCGGCAUGCCUAACACAUGCAAGUCGAACGAGACCUUCGGGUCUAGUGGCGCACGGGUGCGUAACACGUGGGAAUUUGCCUCGGGGUAUGGAAUAACUCAGGGGAAACUUGAGCUAAUACCAUAUAAUGUCUUCGGACCAAAGAUUUAUCGCCCUGAGAUAAGCCCGCGUAGGAUUAGCUAGUUGGUGGGGUAAAGGCUCACCAAGGCGACGAUCCUUAGCUGGUCUGAGAGGAUGAUCAGCCACACUGGGACUGAGACACGGCCCAGACUCCUACGGGAGGCAGCAGUGGGGAAUAUUGGACAAUGGGCGAAAGCCUGAUCCAGCAAUGCCGCGUGAGUGAUGAAGGCCUCGGGUUGUAAAGCUCUUUACUUCGGGACGGAUAAUGACGGUACCGAGAGAAUAAGCCCCGGCUAACUCCGUGCCAGCAGCCGCGGUAAU